GACGAACGCUGGCGGCGUGCUUAACACAUGCAAGUCGAACGGAAAGGCCCUGCUUUUGUGGGGUGCUCGAGUGGCGAACGGGUGCGUAACACGUGAGUAACCUGCCCUUGACUUUGGGAUAACUUCAGGAAACUGGGGCUACUACCGGAUAGGAGCUCCUGCUGCAUGGUGGGGGUUGGAAAGUUUCGGCGGUUGGGGAUGGACUCGCGGCUUAUCAGCUUGUUGGUGGGGUAGUGGCUUACCAAGGCAUUGACGGGUCGCCGGCCUGAGAGGGUGACCGGCCACAUUGGGACUGAGAUACGGCGCAGACUCGUACGGGAGGCAGCAGGGGGGAAUAUGGCACAAUGGGCGGAAGUCGGAGGCAGCGACGCCGCGGGCGGGAUGACGGCCUUCGGGGUGUAAACCGCUGUAGCCUGUGACGAAGCGGGAGUGACGGUAAUGGGUAAAGAAGCACCGGCUAACUACGUG
rnacentral:rRNA from 1 species